rnacentral:rRNA from 1 species
AAUAGAUACCCAGGUAGUCCACGCCGUAAACGAUGAGUGCUAAGUGUUAGGGGGUUUCCGCCCCUUAGUGCUGCAGCUAACGCAUUAAGCACUCCGCCUGGGGGAGUACGGUCGCAAGACUGAAACUCAAAGGAAUUGACGGGGGCCCGCACAAGCGGUGGAGCAUGUGGUUUAAUUCGAAGCAACGCGAAGAACCUUACCAGGUCUUGACAUCCCACUGACCGCUAUGGAGACAUAGUUUUCCCUUCGGGGACAGUGGUGACAGGUGGUGCAUGGUUGUCGUCAGCUCGUGUCGUGAGAUGUUGGGUUAAGUCCCGCAACGAGCGCAACCCUUGAUCUUAGUUGCCAUCACUUAGUUGGGCACUCUAAGGUGACUGCCGGUGACAAACCGGAGGAAGGUGGGGAUGACGUCAAAUCAUCAUGCCCCUUAUGACCUGGGCUACACACGUGCUACAAUGGACGGUACAAACGGUUGCCAACCCGCGAGGGGGAGCUAAUCCGAUAAAACCGUUCUCAGUUCGGAUUGUAGGCUGCAACUCGCCUAC